rnacentral:lncRNA from 1 species
CCCACACAUGUUUUAGCGAUUUUUCCUCACGAACAAGCUCGAUGUACUCCUUGCUGAUAGAUGUCCGCAAAGCAAACAAAGCUUUGCCGCAUUUUAUCUUCCACUUCCUCCGCAACUCAACAUUAUGUGGUGUAUCUUCUAGAAUUACCGAUUCAUCACCAAAGAUAAGAUCCCACAAAUCUUGCCCUUGUAGAUAAGCUUC